CCCUGUGUGGUACAAAUGGUUAGUGUGCUUGGCUGCUAACCAAAGGUUGGGGGUUAGAGUCUUCCCAGAGGCA
rnacentral:tRNA from 1 species